rnacentral:rRNA from 1 species
AGAGUUUGAUUCUGGCUCAGAUUGAACGCUUCUGGGAUGCCUUACACAUGCAAGUCGAACGGUAGCGCGGACUUCGGUCUGGCGGCAAGUGGCGAACGGGUGAGUAAUGUAUCGCAACGUGCCUUGUAGCGGGGGAUAACUACUCGAAAGAGUAGCUAAUACCGCAUACGCCCUACGGGGGAAAGGGGGGGAUCGCAAGACCUCUCACUAUUAGAGCGGCCGAUAUCGGAUUAGCUAGUUGGUGAGGUAAAGGCUCACCAAGGCGACGAUCCGUAGCUGGUUUGAGAGGACGACCAGCCACACUGGGACUGAGACACGGCCCAGACUCCUACGGGAGGCAGCAGUGGGGAAUUUUGGACAAUGGGGGAAACCCUGAUCCAGCCAUUCCGCGUGUGCGAUGAAGGCCUUCGGGUUGUAAAGCACUUUUGGCAGGAAAGAAAUCGCACCAAUUAAUACUUGGUGUGGAUGACGGUACCUGCAGAAUAAUCACCGGCUAACUACGUGCCAGCAGCCGCGGUAAUACGUAGGGUGCAAGCGUUAAUCGGAAUUACUGGGCGUAAAGCGUGCGCAGGCGGUUCGGAAAGAGAGGUGUGAAAUCCCAGGGCUCAACCUUGGAACUGCACUUUUAACUACCGAGCUAGAGUAUGUCAGAGGGGGGUGGAAUUCCGCGUGUAGCAGUGAAAUGCGUAGAUAUGCGGAGGAACACCGAUGGCGAAGGCAGCCCCCUGGGAUAAUACUGACGCUCAUGCACGAAAGCGUGGGGAGCAAAC